rnacentral:rRNA from 1 species
AUUGAACGCUGGCGGCAGGCCUAACACAUGCAAGUCGAGCGGAAGAAGGGAGCUUGCUCCUGGAUUCAGCGGCGGACGGGUGAGUAAUGCCUAGGAAUCUGCCUGGUCGUGGGGGAUAACGUCCGGAAACGGGCGCUAAUACCGCAUACGUCGUGAGGGAGAGAGUGGGGGAUGUUCAGACCUCACGCUAUCAGAUGAGUCUACGUCGGAUUAGCUAGUUGGUGGGGUAAUGGCCUACCAAGGCGACGAUCCGUAACUGGGCUGAGAGGAUGAUCAGUCACACUGGAACUGAGACACGGUCCUGACUCCUACGGGAGGCAGCGGUGGCGAAUAUUGGACGAAGGGCGAAAGCCUGAUCCAGCCAUGCCGCGUGUGUGAAGAAGGUCUUCGGAUUGUAAAGCACUUUAAGUGGGGAGGAAGGGCAGUAAGUUAAUACCUUGCUGUUUUGACGUUACCAACAGAAUAAGCACCGGCUAACUUCGUG